rnacentral:lncRNA from 1 species
CGAGCGAUAACGGAGAAAUUCGGUGAUCUGUACUGGGAUCAGAAGCUGCUGUGUGACCUGCACCGUCUGAUUAACCAGCAUUCAUGCCCACGCGUCUCUGAUGAACAGUCCUCCUCAAAGGCGGUGGAAAGGGCAGCAGCAUCGCUCCAGAGCGCCAGACAGCGUUUGUCCAGCGAGGAAAAGGCUCGUCUUGACCACAGAGCAGACCUCUGGCCUUCAGAUCGACCGGAGAACCAGCUGGACAAGAUGAAGAAAGAACCGGAAUGCUGCAAAGUACAUGAGCUUAAAUACAGAGAAACAGCAGAUGGACAAAACCUAGAGGAGACGUGCUGGAGACGAGACACACAGGAAGUGACAUCAGAGGAUGACAACAAAGAGCUGAUGGAUCUGAUGGCUCCAGAUGGUGGCGCUGCAGAGUGUGUUUGUGCAGCUGAAGCGCGGCUCACUCCCGACACAGAUGACUGUGACUCUGUGAUGUCUGAGCGGACGCUCUCAGUCUGCAGCGGCCCUCAGCGGGCCCGGUGCGGCUCCUGGGCUCUGGCUCUGUACGGGGACGACUGCUUCGGUCCGGAUGUGCUGGAGUACACACAGAAACUCAGCAG